GGACAGGUGGCCGAGUGGUUUAAGGCGCACGCCUGGAAAGUGUGUAUACGCUAAUCCCGUAUCGGGGGUUCGAAUCCCCCCCUGUCCGCCA
rnacentral:tRNA from 1 species